rnacentral:rRNA from 1 species
UACAGAGGUCCCAAGCGUUGUUCGGAUUCACUGGGCGUACAGGGUGUGUAGGCGGCCCGGUAAGUCCGCUCUGAAAGUCCAGGGCUCAACCCUGGAAAGCGGGUGGAUACUGCCGGGCUAGAAUCCGGAAGAGGCGAGUGGAAUUCCUGGUGUAGCGGUGGAAUGCGCAGAUAUCAGGAGGAACACCAAUAGCGAAGGCAGCUCGCUGGGACGGUAUUGACGCUAAGGCGCGAAAGCGUGGGGAGCAAACAGG